AGUCAUGUAGCUCAGUGUUAAGAGUGCUUGCCUAGUAUGCACAAGGACCUGGGUUUGAUCCCCAGCACUG
rnacentral:tRNA from 1 species